rnacentral:rRNA from 1 species
GACGAACGCUGGCGGCGCGCCUAACACAUGCAAGUCCAACGAGCGAGAGAGAGCUUGCUUUCUUGAGCGAGUGGCGAACGGGUGAGUAACGCGUGAGGAACCUGCCUCAAAGAAGGGGACAACAGUUGGAAACGACUGCUAAUACCGCAUAAGCCCACGACCCGGCAUCGGGUUGAGGGAAAAGGAGCAAUCCGCUUUGAGAUGGCCUCGCGUCCGAUUAGCUAGUUGGUGAGGUAACGGCCCACCAAGGCGACGAUCGGUAGCCGGACUGAGAGGUUGAACGGCCACAUUGGGACUGAGACACGGCCCAGACUCCUACGGGAGGCAGCAGUGGGGAAUAUUGCACAAUGGGGGAAACCCUGAUGCAGCGACGCCGCGUGGAGGAAGAAGGUCUUCGGAUUGUAAACUCCUGUUGUUGAGGAAGAUACUGACGGUACUCAACAAGGAAGUGACGGCUAACUACGUG